rnacentral:lncRNA from 10 species
GCAAACAUUCCAAGAGGAAGCAGAAGCUGCCAGUCCUUUUAAAGAUGAGGCUUGGGUGUGACAUGGUUGUUCUUGCAGAACAUGCCAGCAGAAGCAUUCACCAACUGACAUGUGCCCUGAAAGAAGGCGAUGUCACUAUUGGAGAAGAUGCACCAAAUCUUUCUUUUAGCACCAGUGUGGGAAAUGAGGACGCCAGGACAGCCUGGCCCGAAUUACAACAGAGCCAUGCUGUUAAUCAGCUCAAAGAUUUGUUGCGCCAACAAGCAGAUAAGGAAAGUGAAGUAUC